rnacentral:rRNA from 1 species
GAUGAGUAUGCGUCCAAUUAGAUAGUUGGUGAGGUAACGGCUCACCAAGUCAAUGAUUGGUAGGGGCUCUGAGAGGAGAAUCCCCCACACUGGCACUGAGAUACGGGCCAGACUCCUACGGGAGGCAGCAGUAGGGAAUAUUGGGCAAUGGGCGGAAGCCUGACCCAGCCAUGCCGCGUGCAGGAAGACGGUCCUCUGGAUUGUAAACUGCUUUUAUUAGGGAAGAAAAAGUGCCUGUGGGUAAAAUUGACGGUACCUAAUGAAUAAGCCACGGCUAACUACGUGCCAGCAGCCGCGGUAAUACGUAGGUGGCAAGCGUUGUCCGGAUUUAUUGGGUUUAAAGGGUGCGUAGGUGGGAGAUUAAGUCAGUGGUAAAAGGAGGCAGCUCAACUGUUAUCGUGCCAUUGAUACUGGUUUUCUUGAGUAAAGUAUAGGUAAACGGAAUUGACAGUGUAGCGGUGAAAUGCAUAGAUAUUGUCAAGAACACCAAUUGCGAAGGCAGUUUACUGGACUUUUACUGACACUGAGGCACGAAAGUGUGGGGAUCAAACAGGAUUAGAU